rnacentral:rRNA from 1 species
GUGCACCAGUCGAGAAACCUCCGCAAUACACGAAAGUGUGACGGGGCCAUCCCGAGUGCCGUCCGCUGAGGACGGCUUUUCCCCAGUGUACACAGCUGGGGGAAUAAGGAGAGGGCAAGCCUGGUGUCAGCCGCCGCGGUAAUACCAGCUCUCCGAGUGGUGGGGACGCUUAUUGGGCCUAAAGCAUCCGUAGCCGGCUGGGCAAGUCCUCCGUUAAAUCCAACGAUUCAAUCGUUGGGCUGCGGGGGAUACUGUCCAGCUUGGGGGCGGGAGAGGCCGACGGUAUUCCCGGGGUAGGGGUGAAAUCCUAUAAUCCCGGGAGGACCACCAGUGGCGAAGGCUGUCGGCUAGAACGCGCCCGACGGUGAGGGAUGAAAGCUGGGGGAGCGAACCGGAUUAGAUACCCCUGUAGU